rnacentral:piRNA from 1 species
UUAGUGCACCUUCCUAUUUUCUGUGCAAC